GAUCAUGGCUCAGGAUGAACGCUAGCUACAGGCUUAACACAUGCAAGUCGAGGGGCAUCAGGAAGAAAGCUUGCUUUCUUUGCUGGCGACCGGCGCACGGGUGAGUAACACGUAUCCAACCUGCCCUUUACUCGGGGAUAGCCUUUCGAAAGAAAGAUUAAUACCCGAUAGCAUAAUGAUUCCGCAUGGUUUCAUUAUUAAAGGAUUCCGGUAAAGGAUGGGGAUGCGUUCCAUUAGGUUGUUGGUGAAGGG
rnacentral:rRNA from 1 species